UGGAGCAUGUGGUUUAAUUCGACGCAACGCGAAGAACCUUACCUGGGUUAAAUCAAAGGUGCAAGGCUGAGAGAUCAGUCCCCCGGGCAACCGGCGCUUUUGAAGGUGCUGCAUGGCUGUCGUCAGCUCGUGUCGUGAGAUGUUGGGAUAAGUCCCGCAACGAGCGCAACCCUUACCACUAGUUGCCAGCAUUUAGUUGGGCACUCUAGCGGAACUGCCGGUGAUAAACCGGAGGAAGGUGGGGAUGACGUCAAGUCAUCAUGGCCUCUAUGUCCAGGGCUACACACGUGCUACAAUGGCCGGUACAAACCGCUGCGAACUCGCGAGAGGGAGCCAAUCGGAAAAAGCCGGUCUCAGUUCGGAUUGGAGUCUGCAUCUCGACUCCAUGAAGUUGGAAUCGCUAGUAAUCGCAGAUCAGCACGCUGCGGUGAAUACGUUCCCG
rnacentral:rRNA from 1 species